GCUUUCCUUUUCUUAGACAUAGUUAUGCUGUUGUUGUUUAUAUUCAUCAACAAUUUGCCGCUUGAAAAUAUACUGCUAAAUCGUCGCAUUUUAAAGCGCUCUUACGAUACAGAUACGGACACAUGGUUUAUCAGAAUCACUACUCCUUACUUUGGAGGUGUACCUAAAUUGGCAGAAGAUAGAUCUAUACUUUAACGCGGACCUCGACGAAGACACCUAUAAACAUACACAUUCACGGCGUACACGGAGAUUAUCACUUUAGGAA
rnacentral:lncRNA from 1 species